UACGGAGGGUGCAAGCGUUGUUCGGAAUUACUGGGCGUAAAGCGCACGUAGGCGGCGAUCCAAGUCAGGGGUGAAAUCCCGGGGCUCAACCCCGGAACUGCCCUUGAAACUAGGUUGCUAGAAUCCUGGAGAGGUGAGUGGAAUUCCGAGUGUAGAGGUGAAAUUCGUAGAUAUUCGGAAGAACACCAGUGGCGAAGGCGACUCACUGGACAGGUAUUGACGCUGAGGUGCGAAAGCGUGGGGAGCAAACAGG
rnacentral:rRNA from 1 species